GAAGUCAUGGUUUUGUUCCAACAGGAUGAAUUUAGAACAAGUGACAACUGUAGCAAAACCUUCUGAGAUCAUAAUCCUGCUACUGAGUUCAAUUUUGUUGGGAAAUUGCUUGGACCAAGAGGAAACUCUUUAAAGAGGUUACAAGAAGAAACAGGUGCAAAAAUGUCCAUCCUGGGAAAAGGAUCCAUGAGGGAUAAAGCUAAGGAGGAAGAACUAAGGAAAAGUGGAGAAGCCAAAUAUGCGCACUUGAGUGAUGAGCUCCACGUAUUAAUUGAAGUGUUUGCUCCACCUGGGGAAGCGUAUUCUCGUAUGAGUCACGCCUUGGAAGAAAUAAAAAAAUUCCUGG